rnacentral:rRNA from 1 species
UAAUACAUGCAAGUCGAACGCGUCUCCGUUGAUGAUUUUAGGUGCUUGCACUUGAAAGAUUUAACAUUGAGACGAGUGGCGAACUGGUGAGUAACACGUGGGUAACCUGCCCUUGAAGUAGGGGAUAACACUUGGAAACAGGUGCUAAUACCGUAUAACAACCAAAACCACCUGGUUUUGGUUUAAAAGACGGCUUCGGCUGUCACUUUAGGAUGGACCCGCGGCGUAUUAGCUUGUUGGUAAGGUAACGGCCUACCAAGGCGAUGAUACGUAGCCGACCUGAGAGGGUAAUCGGCCACAUUGGGACUGAGACACGGCCCAAACUCCUACGGGAGGCAGCAGUAGGGAAUCUUCCACAAUGGACGAAAGUCUGAUGGAGCAACGCCGCGUGAGUGAUGAAGGGUUUCGGCUCGUAAAACUCUGUUGUUGGAGAAGAACAGGUGUCAGAGUAACUGUUGACAUCUUGACGGUAUCCAACCAGAAAGCCACGGCUAACUACGUGCCAGCAGCCGCGGUAAUACGUAGGUGGCAAGCGUUGUCCGGAUUUAUUGGGCGUAAAGCGAGCGCAGGCGGUUUUUUAGGUCUGAUGUGAAAGCCUUCGGCUUAACCGGAGAAGUGCAUCGGAAACCGGGAGACUUGAGUGCAGAAGAGGACAGUGGAACUCCAUGUGUAGCGGUGAAAUGCGUAGAUAUAUGGAAGAACACCAGUGGCGAAGGCGGCUGUCUGGUCUGUAACUGACGCUGAGGCUCGAAAGC